GACGAACGCUGGCGGCAUGCCUAACACAUGCAAGUCGUACGGUAAGGCUUCAUUCGGGAAGUACACGAGUGGCGAACGGGCGAGUAACACGUGGGUAAAUUACCAUUGACCGGGGGACAACCGAGGGAAACUUCGGAUAAUACCGCAUACCGCACACUGCCUCAGGGUGGAGUACCAAGGCUCCUGCGGUUAAGGAUGUGCCCGCGGCAGAUUAGCUUGUUGGUGAGGGAACGGCUUACCAAGGCGAACAUCUGUAGCUGGUCUGAGUGGACGAUCAGCCACACUGGAACUUAGACACGGUCCAGACUCCUACGGGAGGCAGCAGUUGGGAAUCUUGCGCAAUGGGCGGAAGCCUUACGCAGCAAUGCCUCGUGAGGGAAGACGGCCUUAGGGUUGUAAACCUCUUUCAGCAGGGACGAACACAGACGGUACCUGCAGAAGAAGCCCCGGCUAACUACGUGCCAGCCGCCGCAGUAA
rnacentral:rRNA from 1 species